ACAUAAGCUCGAAGUAAAACAACUACCUGUAGUAGGGUGCCUCUAGCUCUGUCAGUCGGGUAGGGCUCUAACUCGCGACGCCCUUGCCUCGAUCCUGAUCCGCGGAAGGCGCAGCAGCUAAAACCUGUGGCUCUGCAAAACAGGGGUAACAACUGGGCGUGAGAACUACUAUAAAAACAAGUAGUCCUCAGUGGGUGCCGCCCAAAACAACAUCAGUCCACCCACUAAGUCUACAGAAGGGAGCAAGAAUAGUAGUAAAUGCAGGAAUAAAGUCUACCGCUAUCAAACACUACAUUAUCAUGCUCUACACUAACCAACUGUAAAAAAAUGUCCAAUCUGACCCAAUCCAAUCGGGACUGUAAGCAUACCCGUCCCCGGGACUGUGAAUACACCCGUCCCUGCCCCGUUGCGACUAUCGGGCUCUAUCCACACUAACUGGUCCGUAGAGAGCAAGUCCAACUGGCAUGAGCGACACCAACGCGAAAGCACAAAGCCUGACUCCGGAGUGGCACUCGUGGGCGCUACCCAACCGAGUAUGCAGCGUAUCUCUGUCGAGCUCAAACAGGCUCUGAAAAGCCAAAGUCAAGUAACCGACUCAAACUGGUCUAACCACCAACAGGUAAUGUGCCCUCGGCACAAUCUGACGCCAAAAAGGCGAUACGGGUCCACCGUCAACUCUGACGGCACCCACCAGUCGGGAACAACCUGAACGAUCCUGUAAAAAUCCACUCGGCGCACCAGCACGAGCGUAAAUGUAAUCUAAACUACCUGGAGUACUCGUCUCGAAAAUACUGCGACAGUACAAUUUAAUAACGGCUCCUAGAGCUAAAUCAGGCAGUUUAAACGAGUGACAGGUCCAAAUCGCAGGUUUUCUCCUAAUUCAAUUUCCAAGUCCAACAUGUAUAACCUACUUAAUUUAUUACCACAUGCUCCAAAUUCAGAUUUGCAAUCUACGAUAUAAUCCAUGAAUUCGAGCUAGAAUAGAGUAUCCAAAGGUCGAAAAUUAUACAUGCCGACGAAUAUGAACUUAGGAGUAAAAACCGAUGUAACCCACCUCUCAAGCAACUCCUGGCAGCGAAGAAAACGUUAAAUCCGACCAAGCUAACCUUAUCCAAAUUCAGCAAACAAGGGUCCUGAAGCUUUGUCUUGAAGUCACGAAUCCAAUGGCCCAGGUUUCGCUGAAUUCUGACGCUCCUACGCAGAGAACGGGCCAGAAUACGAAACGUCGACGCUGGAACCUGCGAAACAGCAUCUCUGAAAUCUGCUCGGCAAACAACAGCCUAGUAAAACUAGGGUUUGACAGGGCAAACCUGCUCCAAAAAUCGCGAUCUUGGGCUCAGAAUCUUCGUCUCGAAGUCGCGAAUCUAACACGUCAAAUUUCGUCGCGUUUCGACACUCCUACACAGAGAACUAGGUAAAACACGGCGGGUCGAUGCUGGAAUCAGCAAUCAGCACUUCAGAGUCUGCUCGGCAAACAGCAACUCAGUAAAAAGAGAUUUCAACAGAGAAAACCUUCUCCAAAUUGGGCGAGUAAGGAUCCUAUGAAUUCGUCUCGAAGUCCCGGUUCCAACGAACCAAAUCUCGUCGAAAUCCGAUGCUCCUACGUCGCGUACGAGCUGAAAUACUAACAGUCGACGACAAGAUCCUGCGAAUCAGCACUUAAGCUCGAAUUGAAUGAAGCUUGAAGUAGAGAAGAAAUCCAUAGAGGAAUGAGAGAUUACCCACCUCAACCAGCGACUCCAAUUCCGGCACGGCGUCGAGAACGACGAAAACACUCCCUCGCCCGGCCUCCUCGCUAAACUACGGCGACGCACGUAUGCUCGGACGGCUCGGCGACGCGACGUCGGCGACGAACGCUCCACCCAAGCUCCUCCUCCUUGCGUAUGGCUCCAGAGACAGAUAGGGAGGAAAUUUAAUUAAAGAGGUGUUGGUUGCAACCCUCAAUUAAAAUGGAUAAGCAUGCAUGCAUGGGAGGGGGGUACGUGGCAGCAUCCAUAUAUAUAUAUAUAUAUAUAUAUAUAUAUAUAUGAGGAUACUACAUUCUGAGAGCCCAAUUCCCAUGUUCUUUACAACUCAAUAUCUUGCAAAGCACAGUAACAACUGGUUUAUUCUAAUUCUCAGUUAUUUUCAUCUUAGUUUUAUUAAGUCAGUUUCAUUCUGUGGAAUUAAACACAAAUAUUUAGAUCUGACCGUUAGCGGAAGCUUGUCGGGUCUUUGUCGCACACGAUCGAUCCGGAAUUAACGGAGGUUGGAUUACGGACCCGUCAUAAUCGGAGGUCUUGCUAUGAUCAGCUUUGCGGUAGACCUAACUACGAACGAGUUUACGUCUUGAUUCCAUUGUUCAAGAUUCCUUGGAACCCUUGAUGUGAAUGGAGAAUGCGGAUGUAAAUUUUCGUCCACAACCCCUUUGAUGGGAUUUAAUCUUAUACCAACUCUUUAUGUAUCAGGCUCUUAAUGCCAACCGUUGAUGUGAAUGGAAAAGCUGAUUUUCUUUGGAACUAAAAGGACAAAAAAUUUUAAAAAUUUUUUUAUGAAAAAACUAUUUUUUCGAAACUAUUUUUUCACGCUUUUUCGAAAAACCGAAUAACCCCUUAUAAAUAUUAUCUGAAGCUGUUAGGGAGAUAAGUGCCUCAUCUUUCAAUUUUUUAGCAGGACGAAUAUCUGAUCAAGUUUUAGGAUCAAAUCAGGUGAUGCGCACAUUUGAUCCGACCCAUCCAACCAAAUUCUAACUCGUCCAAUCCUGGCUUGACUUGGACUGAAUUUAUCAAAUCUAUUUAGCCUAAUUUCCGUACUACCACAUUAAAUUUGUACCACGUGCUGAGAGUGGAUAGCACAUGUAAAGGGAGCAUAUUGGCUUCCUUUUUGUUCGAAAAUUAUUAGGAACUAAUUAUAUCGGAGAUAGAUAAGUACGAAUAUGAGUUUUUGUAAGAAUAAAAAUAUUUUUUUAUUUAGAUAAAAAUAUGAGAAUAAGAUGGAAUUAGAAAAAUUAUGUUUGGAUGGUUAUUGGGAAUAAGAGGAUUAAUUGUUAGUUAUAAAUAAAAAAUAAUGAUAUUACCCAUAUAAUUGAAUUUAAAUUUUUAAAUUUUAAAUUUAUAAUUUUAAAAUAAAAAUUAAANCCUCUGUCUGUGGGUGAAAAGCAGUGCUGAAAUGUAACUGAGUCCCCAAAGUUGUCUGUAAACUCCUCCAGAAAUGCGACACAAACCUCGGGUUUCGGUCUGAUACAAUCGAUACUGACACGCCGUGCAGCCUGAUGAUCUCAUCAAGGUAUAGCUGCGCGAGUCUCUCUCUGGACCAGAUGGUCUGAACCCGUAAGAAGUGAGCAGACUUGGUCAGUUUGUCCACUAUCACCCAAAUCGCAUCAAAGCCACCCUGCGCUCUAGGCAAUACCACGACAAAGUCCAUCGUAAUCUACUCCCACUUCCACUCGGGCACUGGCAGACUCUGAAGCUUGCCAGCAGGUACCUGAUGCUCGUCCUUCACCUGUUAACAAGUCAAACACUGAGCCACAUAUCUGCCAAUGUCUCUCUUCAUUCCAUUCCACUAAAACUGUGCCUUUAAGUCCUUAUACAUCUUGGUUCCACCUGGGUGUACUGUAUAAGGUGAACAAUGAGCCUCUCUCAAGAUGUCAUCUCGGAUCCCUGAAUCCACCGGCAUACACAGUCGGUUCCUGUACCGCAGUACUCCCGAACUGUCCAAAGAAAACCCUCAGUCUGCCCCUCCGUCUGGCUGCUCUCUAAUCCUGAACAAGUACGGAUCUCCACUCUGUUUCUCUCGGAUCCUAUCCAACAGAGUGGGCUGUAAAACUAGAGACGUCAGCCUCGCCGUAGACCCAGGGGUACUAUCUCGAGUCCCAGCCGCUGUAGCUCCUCGAGUUGGGGUCUCUGCUUAGUGAUCCUCAAACUCAGGCUCUGCACUGCCUUCCUGCUCAACGCAUCUGCCACCACAUUCGCCCUGCCGGGAUGAUACUGAAUACUAAUGUCAUAGUCCUUCAGUAACUCCAACCACCGGCGCUGCCUCAGGUUCAGCUCCCUCUGUGUGAACAGAUACUUGAGACUUUUAUGAUCGGUGAAGACCUCGCAGUGCUCGCCGUACAAGUAAUGCCGCCAGAACUUCAAAGCAAAGACUACCGCUGCAAGCUCCAAAUCAUGCGCAGGGUAAUUCUUCUCAUAAUCCUUUAACUGCCAUGAAGCAUAAGCAAUCACCCUACCAUGCUGCAUCAGCACGCAACCAAGUCCACUGUGCGAUGCAUCACUGUAGAUCACGAAUCCCUAGACUGAUUUUUCGGACUCGUACGCGGCAUUAUGAGUUCACGGAUGCUUUUGGAUUGACGAAUGCCCUGCCGAUUCAUGGUUUUGGAUGAAUAGAGUGUUCAAGCCAUCUUGAUAGGUUUGUGGUAGUCUUCAUCAUGAUAUCCUAAUAUACAUCCCGGGAAUGAUCUGAGCAGAGGAGCACUUCGAGGAUUGUGCUAACAGCUUCUGCGAGCGAGAAAGAAGUUUGUAUACUAAGUUAAAAGAAGUGGCGAGUUCUGGCUACGGGAAGUUGCUUUCUAGCCACGUGAUUUUCAGCUGAGGGCGUUUAGCCAGUGCCAAGAAGAUUGAGGCGAUUCGAGAUUGGCCUAGACCAACGACGGUGACGGAGGUACGGAGCUUCCUGGGACUGGCAGGAUAUUACGUCAGUUUGUGGAAGGCUUUGCGAAGCUUUCCACACCACCCCUCACACGCUUGACGGCGGAAGGGGAUUCGUUUUGUCUUGAGCGACGACUGUCAGAGGAGCUUUGACGAGUUGAGGUUGAGGUUGACGUCGGCUCCUAUCCUUGCCCUUCCGGUGAUGGGGGAUGGAUUCGUGAUCUACAGUGAUGCAUCGCACAGUGGAACUUGUUGCGUUGCUGAUGGCAGCAUGGUAGGGUGAUUGCUUAUGCUUCAUGCAGUUAAAGGAUUAUGAGAAGAAUUACCCUGCUACUGAUUUGGAGCUUGCAGCGGUACUCUUUGCUUUGAAGUCUGGCGGCAUUACUUGUACGGCGAGCACUGCGAGGUCUUCACCGAUCAUAAAAAGUCUCAAGUAUCUGUUCACACAGAGGAGCUGAACCUGAGGAGCGCCGGUGGUUGAGUUACUGAACGACUAUGACAUUAGUAUUCAGUAUCAUCCCGGCAGGGCGAUAUGUGGUGGCAGAUGCGUUGAGCAGGAAGGCAGGUGCAGAGCCUGAGUUUGAGGAUCACUAAGCAGAGACCCAACCAACCGAGGAGCUACAGCGCUGGGACUCGAGAUAGUACCCCUGGGUCUACGGCGAGGCUGACGUCUCAGUUUUACAGCCCACUCUGUUGGAUAGGAUCGAUAGAAACAGAGUGGAGAUCGUACUUGUUCAGGAUUAGAGAGCAGCCAGACGGAGGGGCAGACUGAGGGUUUUCUUUGGACAGUUCGGGAGUACUGCGGUACAGGAACGACGUGUAUGGCCGGUGGAUUCAGGGAUUCCGAGAUGACAUCUUGAGAGAGGCUCAUUGUUCACCUUAUACAGUAACACCCAGGUGGAACCAAGAUGUAUAAGGAACUUAAAGGCACAGUUUUAGUGGAAUGGAAGAAGAGAGAGCAUUGGCAAUAUGAUGCUCAGUGUUUGACUUGUUAACGAGGUGAAGGACGAGCAUCAGGUACCUGCUGGCAAGCUUCAGAGUCUGCCAGUGCCCGAGUGGAAGUGGGAGUAGAUUACGAUGGACUUUUUGUCGGUAUUGGCCUAGAGCGCAGGGUGGCUUUGAUGCGAUUUGGGUGAUAGUGGACAAACUGACCAAGUCUGCUCACUCUUACGGGUUCAGACCAUCUGGUCCAGAGAGAGACUCGCGCAGCUAUACCUUGAUGAGAUCAUCAGGCUGCACGGCGUGUCAGUAUCGAUUGUAUCAGACCGAAACCCGAGGUUUGUGUCGCAUUUCUGGAGGAGUUACAGACAACUUUGGGGACUCAGUUACAUUUCAGCACUGCGCUUUUCACCCACAGACAGAGGGUCAGUCAAGAGCGGACCAUACAGACUCUAGAGGACAUGCUGGAGGGCAUGCGUCCUAGAUUUCUUGGAGGAGGAUGGUAUCGACAUGUGAGACUGGUUGAGUUUGCGUACAACAACAAGCUAUCAAACAAGCAUUCAGAUGGCUCCGUUUGAGGCAUUGUAUGGACGCAGAUGUCGAUCCCCCUGUUUUGGAGUGAUGUGGGUGAGCGGAGGACACUGGACCGGAGAUUUUACUUGAGGCUGAGGAAAAGGUGAGAGUCGUCCGCACACUUCUGACAGCACAGAGCCGACAGAGGAGCUACGCCCGAUAUCAGGAGACGAGACUUAGAGUUUUCAGGUUGAGAUCAUGUUUUCUCAAAGUCUCACCGUCCAGAGGGAUACGCCGUUUUGGGAGUACGUGGAAAGCUUAGUCCACGGUUUGUGGCCCUUUCGAUGUAUUAGAGCGUAUCGGACCGUGUGGCUUACAGGAUAGCUCUACUCCCCCGCACUUGCUGGCACCACGAUGUUUUCCACGUCUCAGCAUUGAGGAGAUACGUUUUCGACCCCUCAUCACGGAUUGACUUCACUCCACUAGAAGAUUGGAGAGGAUCUAAGAUACGAGGAGCGACCGGUGCGGAUUCUUGCUCGUGAGACGAAAAAUUGCGCAACCGGGUCAUCCCGUAUGUAAAGGUGCAGUGGAGUAAUCACGAGGAGAGGGAGGCGACUUGGGAGCCCAAGACGAUGAUGAGGGAGUCCUAUCCCGACCUAUUCGUUGCCCUGUCUUGAGGUAUAUUUUAAGUUUCGAAGGACGAAACUUUUUGUAGUGGGGGAGAAUUAGUAUCCUCAUAUAUAUAUAUAUAUAUAUAUAUAUAUAUUAUAUAUAUAUAUAUAAAUAUAUAUAUAUAUAUAUUAUAUAUAAUAUAAUUAUAUGGAUCUGCCACGUACCCCCCUCCCAUGCAUGCAUGCUUAUCAUUUUAAUUGAGGUUGCAACCAACACCUCUUUAUUAAAUUCCUCCCUAUCUGUCUCUGGAGCCAUACGCAAGGAGGAGGAGCUUGGGUGGACCGUUCGUCGCCGACGUCGCGCGCGGAGCCGUCGAGCAUACUGCGUCGCCGUAGUUUAGCAAGGAGGCCGGGAGGGAGUGUUUUCGUCGGUCUCGACGCCGUGCCGGAAUUGGAGUCGCUGGUUGAGGUGGGUAAUCUAUCUCUCAUUCCUCUAUGGAUUUCUUCUCUACUUCAAGCUUCAUUUCAAUUCGAGCUUAAGUGCUGAUUCGCAGGAUCUUGUCGUCGACUGUUAGUAUUUCAGCUCGUACGCGACGUAGGAGCAUCGGAUUUCGACGAGAUUUGUUCGUUGGAACGGGACUUCGAGACGAAUUCAUAGGAUCCUUACUCCCAAUUUGGAGAAGUUUUCUCUGUGAAAUCUCUUUUUACUGAGUUGCUGUUUGCCGAGCAGACUCUGAAGUGCUGAUUGCUGAUUCCAGCAUCGACCCCGUGUUUUACUAGUUCUCUGUGUAGGAGUGUCGAACGCGACGAAAUUUGACGUGUUAGAUUCGCGACUUCGAGACGAAGAUUCUGAGCCCAAAGAUGCGAUUUUUGGAGGCAGUUUGCCCUGUCAAACCCUAGUUUUACUAGGCAUGUUGUUGCCGAGCAGAUUUCAGAGAUGCUGUUUCGCAGGUUCCAGCGUCGACGUUUCGUAUUCUGGGCCGUUCUCUGGUAGGAGCUAGAAUUCAGCGAAACCUGGGCCAUUGAUGCGUGACUCAAGACAAAGCUCAGGACCCUUGUUUGCUGAAUUUGGAUAAGGUUAGCUUGGUCGAAUUUACGUUUUUCUUCGCUGCCAGGAGUUGCUUGAGAGGUGGGUUACAUCGGUUUUUACUCCUAAGUUCAUAUUCGUCGGCAUGUAUAAUUCUUCGACCUUUGGAUACUCUAUUCUAGCUUCGAAUUCAUGGAUUUAAUCGUAGAUUGCAAAUCUGAAUUUGGAGCAUGUGGUAAUAAUUAAGUAGGUUAUACAUGUUGGACUUGGAAAUUGAAUUAGGAGAAAACCUGCGAUUUGGACCUGUCACUCGUUUAAACUGCCUGAUUUUAGCUCUAGGAGCCGUUAUUAAAUGUACUGUCGCAGUAUUUUCGAGACGAGUACUCCAGGUAGUUUAGAUUACAUUUACGCUCGUGCUGGUGCGCCGAGUGGAUUUUUACAGGAUCGUUCAGGUUGUUGCCGACUGGUGGGUGCCGUCGAGAGUACGUGGACCCGUAUCGCCUUUUUGGGCGUCAGAUGUGCCGAGGGCACAUUACCUGUUGGUGGUUAGACCAGUUUGAGUCGGUUACUUGACUUUGGCUUUUCAGAGCCUGUUGAGCUCGACAGAGAUACGCUGCAUACUCGGUGGGUAGCGCCCACGAGUGCCACUCCGGAUCAGGCUUUGUGCUUUCGCGUUGGGUGGUCGCUCAUGCCAUUGGAGACUUGCUCUCUACGGACCAGUUAGUGUGGAUAGAGCCCGAUAGUCGCAACGGGGCAGGGACGGGUGUAUUCACAGUCCCGGGGACGGGUAUGCUUACAGUCCCGAUUGGAUUGGGUUCAGAUUGGACAUUUUUUUCAGUUGUUAGUGUAGAGCAUGAUAAUGUAGUGUUUGAUAGCGGUAGACUUUUAUUCCUGCAUUUACUACUAUUCUUGCUCUCCUCUGUAGACUUAGUGGGUGGACUGAUGUUGUUUUGGGCGGCACCCACUGAGGACUACUUGUUUUUAUAGUAGUUCUCACGCCCAGUUGUUACCCCUGUUUUGCAGAGCCACAGGUUUUAGCUGCUGCGCCUUCCGCGGAUCAGGAUCGAUGCAAGGGCGUCGCGAGUUAGAGCCUACCCGACUGACAGAGCUAGAGGCACCCUACUACAGGUAGUUGUUUUACUUCGAGCAUUAAGUACAUAGUACUUAACUAGCCAGUGCGAGUAACGGCUGUAUUUUGGAUUCUGAACUAUAUAUAUGAAGCUCUGUUGGUGUACUUUUGUUUACUCGAGCAGCUCAAUACUACUGUUUGUAUAUAUAUGAUUGCAGGUACUAUGUCGCUUCGUAUACAGGGGAAUUUCCUUUGUAUACGGCGGAUUUGUCGCAUGCCGGGGAACGUGACAUCCGGGGCGUGACAGUUAAAACUGAUCUAGGGUAUUUAAAGUUUUUAGAAAUAAAAUUUAUAUUUUUUCGACAUAGUUUACUUUAUAAUUAAAAUAUUUCAAAAUUGUCAAUUUAUCAAUGUCUAUUAUGAUGAAUUUGGAGUUUAACGUGUAGAAGAAUCUAAAUUUCUUCAAAUUUGAUAGAAAAUACUUUAACUAUAUAGAUUAAGGUUAACAUUCUUGAUCUUGAAUUUAAAAGUCUAGGCUCAAAUUUUAAAAGUAUUCAAUUCCCACCGUUCCAUUUUGACAUAAUUUAUUUACUAAGUAAACGAUAUCGAAAAGAACUAAAAUUUUAUUCCUAAGAACUUCAUAUACCCUAAAUCAUAUUUAACGUAUGGGAUCGUAUGAUUGAACGCUCUAAGAUCGAAAACAACACUAUAUGUAUGGGAGUCCCGUACUAUAGAUAGUAUAUGUAGCCAAUUCAAAUUUUUAUUAAUCAUAUUAUUAAUAAAAUUUAAUAAUUUAAUAAUUUUUGUACAACUUUUUUACCCUGUAUAUAAAAAUUUAAUAAUUUUUGUAUAUGAUAUUUUUUAUCUAUAUACUAUGAUGUCGGUGGAGCAAACAUGGGUUUGCCGCACCCGUUAUUUUAGAUUUGGAUCAGAUCAGACUCGUACGGCGCAGCACUUUUGGCUCAUCGGUAAAAAAUUAAUAAAUUAAAAAAAUAAUAACACCAUUAAUCCGAUCCCGCGCUCGUGAAAAAUUUACGGAAAAACCCCCACCCUUUUUGCGCCCAAGUCUCGCACGUGCGCUCCCUCAAGAAAGGCACGUGCGAAACUCGCCCCGACUGCGUUUUCACUCCCCCACAUCUCAUUAUUUACCGCACUCGACCACCGAUGCUGGUUACUAUAAAAGGCGCUUCUCCCCCAAUCGCAAGGAUAUCGUUCUCUCCUCUCUCCUCUCUCUCUCUCUCAAUCUCCGUCGCGGUGCUUCCCCUAAUUCGCUUCUCUCUCUCUCUCUCUCUCGUGGAGCUCUCGACCGGUCGAUCGCGAGCAAGAAGAGGCGGGGCGAAGGUCGGCUGUUGAUUGGANNNNNNNNNNNNNNNNNNNNNNNNNAGUGACCCGAGAAGAUUGAGGCGAUUCGAGAUUGGCCUAGACCAACGACGGUGACGGAGGUACGGAGCUUCCUGGGACUGGCAGGAUAUUACGUCAGUUUGUGGAAGGCUUUGCGAAGCUUUCCACACCCCUCACACGCUUGACGGGAAGGGGAUUCGUUUUGUCUUGAGCGACGACUGUAGAGGAGCUUUAGACGAGUUGAGACUUUGAGGUUGCGUCGGCUCCUAUCCUUGCCCUUCCAGGUGAUGGGGAUGUCUUGGGAACAUCCUCGGCCCUCACCCUCAACUGGUGGUAACCUGACUGGAGAUCAAUCUUCGAGAAGACAUAAGAUCCCUGCAGCUGAUCAAACAAAUCAUCAAUGCGCGGCAAGGGAUACUUAUUCUUGAUGGUCACUUUAUUCAGCUCCCGGUAAUCUACACAUAACCUGAGCGAACCAUCCUUCUUCUUAACAAAUAACACUGGCGCUCCCCAAGGCGACACACUGGGUCUCACAUAUCCCUUGUCCAUCAAAUCCUGAAGCUGCGCCUUUAGCUCUCUCAGCUCAGCCGGCGCCAUCCGAUAAGGUACCUUUGAGAUUGGUGUAGUUCCAGGAACUACAUCAAUCACAAACUCAAUCUCCCUCUCCGGCGGCAAUGUCGUCAACUCAAGGGGAAAUACAUCCGGAAACUCGCGGACUACUGGAAUAUCCUCGAGUCCCGGUGCCGUCGUAGGUACCUCCACAACUGUCGCUAAGAAAGCAAUACACCCGCUACUCAGCAUCUGUCGAGCCCUCGCCGAAGAAAUCCAUGGAGGAAUGAGAGAUUACCCAUGGAUCAUUGAUUUGAACGCCCGAAAAUCGAAAACAACACUAUAGUACGGGAGCUCCCGUACUAUAGAUAGUAUAGUAGCCGGACUCUAAAAAAUUUAUAUAUAAAAAUUAAUAGAUUUUUAUAUACGGUAUAAAAAAAAUUGUAUACCGAGCAUAUAAGACAUGAACCAAACUUUUUUAAAAAAUAAGUAUCGCGAUCAAUCCUAUUUUUUUAAUAGUAUACGAUAUGAACAAACCUUUUUUAAAAAAAAUGUUGUGCACGAAAUAUAAAAGAUACGAACCAAACCUUCUAUUUUUUAAUUUAAUAAUAUAAUUGAUAAAAAAAUUACAUACGAAAAUUAAUAGAUUUUUAUAUACGGUGUAAAAAAAAUUGUACACCGAGCAUAUAAUACAUUUUUUUAAAAUAAUUAUUGCAUAGAUUAAUCCUAUUUUUUAAUAGUAUCUUUUUUUUUUAAUAUUAUAAGACGUGAACCAAACCUUUUUUUAAAAUAAUUAUCGUAUGGACAAACCUUAUUUUUUAAUAGUCAAUAUAACAAAAUUAAAAUUUUAUCUAUUAAAUACAAUCUAUAAUUAAUAAAUAUUUUUGCUGUAUCGUAUGAACCAACCCUAUUUUUUAAUAGUAUAAUUAAUAAAAAAAUCCCAUACAAAAAUUAAUAGAUUUUUAUAUACGGUGAAAAAAAAAUUGUAUACCGAGUAUGUAAGAUAUGAACCAAACUUUUUUUAAAAAUAAUUAUCGCAUGGAUCAACCCUAUUUUUUAAUAGCAUAAUACAUAAACCAAAACUUUUUUAAAAUUAAUUAUCUCAUGAACCAACACUAUUUUUUAAUAGUUACUAUAACAAAAUUAAAAAUUUCAUCUAAUAAAUACAAUUUAUAAUUAAUAAAAAACUAAUAUAAUUUAAUUGUAUUUAAUAUUGUAAAAUUUCUAAAAUGAAUGUGCUUUAUAUAAAGUUAGCGCGAAAUAUUGUAUCUAAUUUGUCGGGAUAUAUUUUCUACUUCGUAUAUUACUAUAUAUUUUUAUAUACUCAUAAAAUUAUACAUAUCUAAAUAAAUAAAUAUUGUGCAAAUUAAUUAAAAUAUUUUUUUCUCGCAGCAUUGCGCGGGCCCUUAGCUAGUAUAUCAUAAAUUCAAAACACAUGCACCUACUACAAUAUAGUUAGAAAGCAUGCAUAAUAAGUUCAAAAUCUUAUAAUGAAAUAAACGAAGCGGGUAGCGUGCUACUUAUCUCUCAAAAAAAAAAAAGAAAAAAAAAGUUCAAAAUCUUAUAAUGAAAAGAUGAGUAUCAAGGUUUUUUUUCUCUUUGGUUUCAGUUGACGGUCAGAUAUUUUACCGAGUCGGUGUCAAGAUUCGAAUAUGAAAACUAUCUCAGACCCUACCCACCAAAGGGUCAGGUCCAGAUCAGGUCCGAGUGGGUAUGAUUAUGAAGUAUUCAAAUCUAUACCGGAUGCAUACCAAAAAUAUAAUAAUAAUAGAAGUGGUGUUGGGUAGGUGGAACCAGUUGUAUCAGUUGGCUUGAUCGACCAGACUACACACUAGAUCGACCGUCCGAUUGAUCUAAGCUGAGUCCAGAUUGCUAGAUCGGGGAUCUGCUCCAACGGUGCUCAAUAGUGGCUUGAUCUGAUUUUUCAAGUUCAAAACUACAACAUUCACAAAACAAAAAACCUUCCCUAUUCCAUUUCUAAGUCAUAAAAUUUUCCACUUAGGGUGUGUUUGGAUCCCUGUUAAAUUCCUUCGAAAAAAAAUUUUCGGUGGAAAAUUUGUUUUUCCUUGUAUGGUUGUCUGUAAAAAUUUUUUUGGAAAAGUUAUUUUACAGAUUUCUAGGAAAAAUUCAGCUUUUCGUUUUCCGCUUGCCGUCCGCGGAAAACGAAAAGCUACAGGAAAAUAUCGCGGCGUUUGGCGCGAAGGGGAGCAACGGGAUGACGCGGUCCACAAGACCACUUUGGCCUCGUAGACCGCGUCGGAGGGAGGUCCACAGCAGCCCUUGUGUUUCUAAUUUUCUAAUCACCCAUCAAGUUUGAUGGGUGGUUAGAAUGAGAGAGGGAGAAAAUAUUGGGGAGAAAUUGGGUAUUUCAAUUUCUCUUCUUAUUAAAUUUCUCUUUAAUAUCUCCUCUGUCUCUCUCAUUCUAACCACCAAUCAAACUUGAUGGGUGGUUAAAAAGUUAGGAGUAUAAGGGCUGUUGUGCUCCUAAUAGCACAGUAGUCCUGCUCUAUAUAUAUAUAUACUAGCUGAGUGUACGUGCAAAUACACGUAACAAUUAUUUUAAUUUAUUUUAAAUCAAUAUAAAUUUGCACAUUAUAUUUAUUUAAAAAUUUAUUAAUUUAUUAAUUCAUAUGUUAUAUUUUAUUAGAAAAUAUUUGUAAUAUUCUAUAUUUUUUUACAUAUAUUAAAUAUUUAUAUAUAUUUUUUGAUUUCUGAUGAUCUAAAAUUUAAAUAUGUGUUUUAAACAAAAAGCAUCAAAAUUUAAUUCAUAUUUAUUUCAAAAUUUAAAAUUUAAUUUUUAUCCACUAUAAUUAAAAUUUUGGAUAAGAAUGCUAUUUUAUUAGCAAAUUAUCAUUUGAAAUCCACUAUCAUCACAUUUCUCACACACUUUUUCAUAUGUCCAAAUCAAGGCUUAUAUAUAGAGUGAAAAGUAAUGAGCAGUGUCUUUUCAAAUAUGAAAAAAAGCAAAUUAUCUUUUGAAAUCAAAUAACUACCUUUAUUAUGAAAGUAUGUGUCCUUUUAUUAGCAACUAAAAUUUUGAAUUAAUUAAAUAAAUAUUUCUGCAUUCAGACCUUUAUUAAUUUUGCAUGAGAAAGACAAGUUGAGAUGACGAUGAUGGCACAGAGUGGAAACAAAGAAGAAGAAAGAACGGAGGACGGGAAGAGAGGGAGAUUAAAAUUAUAGUGGAAGAUAGGGCGGAGGAUUUAAUUCAUUUUUUUAAAAAAUUAAUUUCAAUUGUAAAAAAUAGUAAAAGUAUAUGAAAAUCCUACCAACUGUCAUGAAAUUAUUAAAAUAAAUUAACAAUUUGAUCCAAAAGUGACGUAAGAUUAUUGAGAGAAAACUAAAACUAACAUAACAAAUAAUUCUUUAACUCGAAAAGGCACGACAAUAAAUAUUCAUAAACGAAAUCAACUUUUGAACAUUUAUUUUCAAAGUAAAUGCAUUAUAAUAAUGUUAUUAAAGUAUGAAUAAUCUUGAUAUAUUGUCACGCCCCGGAUUACACUUUCCCCGGGCACGCCGACAAAUCCGCCGUAUACAAAGGAAUUUCCCCUGUAUACGAAGCGUUAGCUGUACCUGUAAAUCAAACACUACUACGAACAGUAGUAGAGAGCUGCUAGAGAAAACAGAAGCUAAACAAACUGAGUUUCAUAUACAUAGUCCAUAUCCAAAAUACAAAGCUACUCGCACUGGCGAGUUAAGUCCACUAUGUACAUAAACUCGAAACAAAACAUCUACCUGCAGUAGGGUGCCUCUAACUCUGCACGUCGGGUAGGGCUCUAACUCGCGACGCCCUUGCCUCGAUCCUGAUCCGCGGAAGGCGCAGUAGCCGAAACCUGUGGCUCUGCAAAACAUAGGUAACAACUGGGCGUGAGAACUACUGUAAAAACAAGUAGUCCUCAGUGGGUACCGCCCAAAACGACAUCGGUCACCCACUAAGUCUACAGAAGGGAGCAAGGAUAGAAGGAAAAGCAGGAAGUACACUCUAUCGCUAUCAUCCACUACACUAUCAUGCUCUACAUUAACCGACUGUAGGAAAUGUCAAAUCUGACCCAAUCCAAUUGGGACUGUAAACAUACCCGUCCCUGGGACUGUGAACACACCCGUCCCUGCCCCGUUGCGACUAUCAGGCUCUAUCCACACUAGCUGGUCCGUGGAGAGCAAGUCCAACUGGCAUGAGCGACACCAACGCAAAAGCACCGCGCCCGCCUCCGGAGUGGCACUCGUGGGAGCUACCCAACCGAGUAUGCAGCGUAUCUCUGUCGAGCUCAAACAGGCUCUCUAACUCAAGCCGAAGUCCAGUAACAACUCUGACUAGUCUAAAUACAACAAACAACGUGCCCUCGGCACAAUCCGACGCCAAAACGGCGAACCGGGCCCACCGUCAGUCCCGACGGCGCCCACUAGUACGAAACAGUCUAAACGACCUCAGAAAAAUUCACUCGGCAUACCAGCACGAGCGUAAAUGUAUUCUAAACUACCUGGAGUACUCGUCUACAGUAUGCUGCGACAGUACAAUUCUAUAACGGCUCCUAGAGCUAAAUCAGGCAGUUUAAUACAUAUGUCGAUUCCAAUCGCGUUUUCUCCUAAGUUUAAACCCAGUCCAACAUGUAUAUUUAAAAGGUAAUAAUCAUGUUAUAUAUGCAGCAUUUAUCCAGGAUAUCAUUAUGAAAAACGAACUACAACAUGAUUUACCGAACAGAAAAUCAUACAUGUCGACUAUUACUACACUUAGGAAUAAACCGAUGUAAACCCACCUUAGUCGCUAAUUCUGGCAGCAAAACACCCUCACAGCUGCAGCACCACCUGCUGGUCGAUCUACACCCUCCAAAUCCGGGAGUCGAGCUAACACCACGCUCUACAAAGCACAAAUCACCGUUUCAGUCCCAAAAUUCGCAACAGUCAGGUACAGCACGGAUUCGACCAAUCUAACCUCAACGAAAUCUGGCAAGUAAGGGCUUCGUGGAUUCCUCUCGAAGUCCUGAAUCCAGCGAAUCAAGCCUCGUCGAAAUCCGACGCUCCUACGUCGAGUACGAGCCGAAACGCCAACGGUCGACGCUGGAAAUCUGCAGGGACAGCAACUAGCUCGAAAUUGAAAAAGCUUGGAAAUUAGGAAGCAAUUCUAUGGAACACCCACCUCGACGGCGACUAGCACUGGCGCGACGUCAAGAACGGCGAAGAUCCACGCUCGCCCGGCCUCCUCACGAUGCAACGGCAGCAACCGUAGGUUCGAACGGCUCUGCGGUGCGACGUCGACGGCGAAAUCGGCUCCGCGGCGGCGUCCCUCGCGUGCUUCCUUGGUACGGCCGAACGAAAGAGAAAAGGAGAGAAGAGAGGAGAUAAACUCCUCUCUCUCUCUUCCCUGCAUGCAUAAAAGAGGGGGGGGAGGUGAUGCCACAUGGCAUUACACAUACUCACACAUGUGCACUCACACACACACACACACGUACCCUCACACACACACUUAUAUAUAUAUACUAAGUGUAGGGAUACUAGUAUACUACAUCCUCCCCCACUACAAAAAGUUUCGUCCGCGAAACUGAACGUACCUCUACUCAAGCAUCAAACAAGUAGGGAUAGGCUUCCCUCAUCACCGUCUCAGACUCCCAAGUCGCCUCCCGCUCAUCAUGAUUACUCCACUGCACUUUCACAUACGGGAUGACCCGGUUGCGCAAUUCUUUCGUCUCCCGAGCAAGAAUCCGCAACGGUCGCUCCUCGUAUCUCAGAUCCUCGCCAAUCUCAAGUGGAGUGAAGUCAAUCACGUGAGAGGGAUCGAAAACGUAUCUCCUCAAUGCUGAGACGUGGAAAACAUCAUGGAUGCCAGCAAGUCGCGGGGGUAGAGCUAUCCUGUAAGCCACCGGUCCGAUACGCUCCAAUACCUCGAAAGGGCCAACAAACCGUGGACUAAGCUUUCCACGUACUCCAAAUCUGCGUAUCCCUCGGGACGGCGAGACUUUGAGGAAAACAUGAUCUCCAACCUGAAACUCCAAGUCUCGUCUCCUGGUAUCGGCGUAGCUCCUCUGUCGGCUCUGUGCUGUCAAAAGGUGUCGUCGAACGACUCUCACCUUUUCCUCAGCCUCAAGUAGAAUCUCCGGUCCAAGUGUCCUCCGCUCACCCACAUCACUCCAAAACAGGGGGGAUCGACAUCUGCGUCCAUACAACGCCUCAAACGGAGCCAUCUGAAUGCUCGUUUGAUAGCUGUUGUUGUACGCAAACUCAACCAGUCUCACAUGUCGAUACCACCCUCCUCCAAAAUCCAGGACGCAUGCCCUCAGCAUGUCCUCUAGAGUCUGUAUGGUCCGCUCUGACUGACCAUCUGUCUGUGGGUGGAACGCCGUGCUAAAAUGCAGCUGUGUACCCAAGGCUGUCUGCAAACUCCUCCAAAACUGGGAUACAAACCUCGGGUCUCUGUCUGAUACAAUCGACACUGGCACGCCGUGCAGCCUAACAAUCUCAUCCAAGUAUAGCUGCGCAAGUCUCUCCCUGGACCAGGUAGUCUGAACCGGUAGGAAGUGAGCAGACUUGGUCAGUCUGUCCACUAUCACCCAAAUCGCGUCGUAGCCACCCUGCGCUCUAGGCAAUCCAACGACGAAGUCCAUCGUGAUGUGCUCCCACUUCCACUCGGGAACUGGCAGACUCUGAAGCUUGCCAGCAGGCACCUGAUGCUCGGCCUUCACCUGUUGGCAAGUCAAACACUGAGCCACAUAUCUGCCAAUGUCCCGCUUCAUUCCAGGCCACCAGAAUCGUGCCUUAAGAUCCUUAUACAUCUUGGUUCCCCCAGGAUGAACCGUAUAAGGGGAACAAUGAGCCUCUCUCAGAAUAUCCGCUCGAAUCUCCGGAUCCACAGGCACACACAGUCGGUCCCUGUACCGUAGUACUCCCGAACUGUCCAAAGCAAAACCCUCAGCCUGCCCCCUGUCUAGCUGCUCUCUAAUCCUCAACAAGUACGGAUCUCCACUCUGUUUCUCUCGGAUCCUAUCCAACAGAGUGGGCUGUAAAACUAGAGACGUCAGCCUCGCCGUAGACCCAGGGGGUACUAUCUCGAGUCCCAGCCGCUGUAGCUCCUCGAGUAGGGGUCUCUGCUCAGUAAUCCUCAAACUCAGGCUCUGCACUGACUUCCUGCUCAACGCAUCUGCCACCACAUUCGCCCUGCCGGGAUGAUACUGAAUACUAAUGUCAUAGUCCUUCAGUAACUCCAACCACCGGCGCUGCCUCAGAUUCAGCUCCCUCUGUGUGAACAGAUACUUGAGACUUUGAUGAUCGGUGAAAACCUCGCAGUGCUCGCCGUACAAGUAAUGCCGCCAGAGCUUCAAAGCAAAAACCACCGCGGCAAGCUCCAAGUCAUGCGUAGGGUAAUUCUUCUCAUAAUCCUUUAACUGCCGUGAAGCAUAAGCAAUCACCCUACCAUGCUGCAUCAGCACGCAACCAAGUCCACUGUGCGAUGCAUCACUGUAGAUCACAAAUCCUUCGCCCAUAACAGGAAGGGCAAGGAUAGGAGCCGACAUCAACCUCAAUCUCAACUCGUCAAAGCUCCUCUGACAGUCGUCGCUCCAGACAAAACGAAUCCCCUUCCGCGUCAAGCGUGUGAGGGGUGUGGAAAGCUUCGCAAAGCCUUCCACAAACCGACGGUAAUAUCCUGCCAGUCCCAGGAAGCUCCGUACCUCAGUAACCGUCGUCGGUCUAGGCCAAUCUCGAAUCGCCUCAAUCUUCUUCGGGUCCACUGCUACGCCCUCAGCUGAAAUCACGUGGCCCAAGAAAGCAACCUCCCGUAGCCAGAACUCGCACUUCUUUAACUUGGCAUACAACUUCUUCUCGCGCAGAAGCUGUAGCACAAUCCUCAAGUGCUCCUCAUGCUCAGCAUCACUCCGGGAGUAAAUCAGGAUAUCGUCGAUGAAGACUACCACAAACCUAUCCAAGAACGGCUUGAACACUCUGUUCAUCAAAUCCAUGAAUGCGGCAGGGGCAUUCGUCAAUCCAAAAGGCAUCACCGUGAACUCAUAAUGCCCGUACCGAGUCCGAAAAGCCGUCUUGGGAACAUCCUCGGCCCUCACCCUCAGCUGGUGGUAACCUGACUGGAGAUCAAUCUUCGAAAAGACACAAGAUCCUUGCAGCUGAUCGAAUAGAUCAUCAAUGCGCGGCAGAGGAUACUUGUUCUUGAUGGUCACUUUAUUCAGCUCCCGGUAAUCCACACAUAACCUGAGCGAACCAUCCUUCUUCUUUACAAAUAACACCGGCGCUCCCCAAGGCGACACACUGGGUCUCACAAACCCUCUAUCCAUCAGAUCCUGAAGUUGCGCCUUUAGCUCUCUCAGCUCUGCCGGUGCCAUCCUGUAAGGUACCUUUGAGAUUGGUGCAGUUCCAGGAACUACAUCAAUCACAAACUCAAUCUCCCUCUCCGGCGGCAAUGUCGUCAACUCAGGGGGAAACACAUCCGAAAACUCGCGGACUACUGGGAUGUCCUCGAGUCUCGGCGCCGCCGUAGGUACCUCCACAACUGUCGCUAGGAAAGCGAUACACCCACUGCUCAGCAUCUGUCGAGCCCUCGCCGAAGAUAUCCAGGUGGCAAACAGCGUGCUCCUGCAGCCUCUGAAAGUAAACUCCUCCUGGCCUGGCUCGCGGAACGUCACCGUCCUCGCUCCACAGUCGAUCGUAGCAUAGUACCGCGCCAGCCAAUCCAUACCGAGCACUACGUCGAAGUCCUGCAGCUGCCCUAACACCAACAGGUCUGCGGGCAUGAUCCAAGAGUCUAACUGCACCGGACAGGACCAACAACACUCUGUAACCUGCAAGACAUGGUCGGGGAUCUGCACCUCUCGUGCCUGAGACAACGCUCCUAACUCUAGACCAUGCAACAAUGCAAAUGCUCGGCUAACAAAGGAAUGCGAUGCACCGGUAUCAAAAAGAGUGCGAACUCUAAUGCCAGAAAUCAAAGUGAUACCUGCCACCACUCGGUCGGCUGCUGAAGAGUCCUCCACCUGAGCUGCAUAGACCCUGCCACUCGGAGCCUGCUGUCGCCGCUCACUCGACCGCGGCACAGACGAUCUGUCCUCCUGGCGGUAGCUCGGUGCUGCUCCGUAAGACUGCUGUGGUGCUGGUGGUGCCGAAGCUGAUGACGGUGCUGGAGAUGCUGCUCGGGGACAAGCUGCCCUCAUGUGUCCCGGCUGACCACAUCCGUAGCACCUGCCCUCUCUCUGCUCGCACUGCCGAGGCCAGUGUGGUCCCCCGCAGAUCACACACUGUGGCGUCCUCUGAGUCUGCCCCUGCUGACGGGAUCCCCUGGAACGCUGACGCCCCGAAGACCCACGACCCUGAGAACGUGAUCGUGGAGGUCUCGGCGGACGUCUGCUGCUCGACUGCCCUCCGUCAUCUGGAAAGGGGCGCUUCCUGUCCUGACCCUGCCCCACGGCCUGAGUCCUCUCCUGCAGCGACACCUCACCUCUCUCCACCCAUAGGGCCUGCUCUAUGGACGCAUCCAGGGUCCUCGACCUCUGCGCCCGCACUAACCUGAAGAUGUCCGGUCUCAGCCCCUGCUCGAACAUGUAUACUCUGUGCGCCUCGUCUCUGGCCGCAAAUGGUACACAGUUCAGGAGUCGAGUAAACUCCCGAACGUACUCCUGCACUGGGCGAUCUCCCUGCUGAAGCCUCCUCAAAUCCUCCUCGAGCUUCUGCUUCACACUGUUGGGAAAGAACAUCCCAAACAGCAUUCCACAGAACUCGUCCCAACUCAGCUGCGCCGCCACUAGCCCCUGGUCUCGCCUCGUCCUCCGCCACCAGUCAUGAGCAUCACCUGCUAGACAGUGUACUCCCAGGGGUACCUGCUCCCCCUCUGGAACGAACAGAUCCUCGAAUAACUUCUCCAUCGCACUGACCCAUCCCUCAACAAUCCAGGCCUCAGUGCCUCUGCCAUCGAAGAUCGGUGGAUCAAAUCGGCGAAAACGAGCUAACCUCUCCGUCCACCGCUCCUGCUCGGCCUCAGUCAACGGUACUGGCCCCCUAGCAGGCGCAACUGGCGCUACUGGAACUGCUGCCGAUGGAGGAACUGCUGCAGCUGGUGCUGUCACUGGAGUAGUCGGGGGUGGAACUGGCGACUCUGGUGCCCUCGGUACAGAACUCGGUGGCUGAGCUAUCCUCUCACACAACCUCUGCAAUAGCUCCCCCUGCUGUCUCGUCACCUCGGUCAGGGCAGCUAACUGUGCACUCAGAUCAGGGGGUGCGCUAGUCUCUGGUCGCGCACUCGGCUCCACAACAGGGGGUACACUCGCCCCCAGUCUGUCACCCUGCUCCUGCCGAGUACUCUGCUCCAUCUGCUCAGAUCUCUCAGAAGGUCCAGCAUGAUCCCGCGCCAACUGGGCGCGCUCCCGCAACGACGGUCGACCCCGGCGACGAUACAUAGCUGAAAGGAACAAUUCGGGGUCAGAUACAACAAAACACUCUCGACCCAAUCAAACGAAAGUCUAGAAGGCGGUCCCUGUUUCCCUCCAAAAUUAUGUCGUCUGCAGCCAACAUAAUUUCUCAGGCCGAAACAGAAACUCCUUCAGUCACUCACUCUGCUCUAAGAGGAGUUAGAACAAAUAAUCAUUGACUUUCGCAAUAAAAUUACGCCUCUCACGUCUUGCUUCCCUAAGGUUUGCCAAACUUAGGUUUCCUAGGUCCCCACGACCUACAGCAAAGCUCUGAUACCAACUUAAUCUGUCACGCCCCGGAUUACACUUUCCCCGGGCACGCCGACAAAUCCGCCGUAUACAAAGGAAUUUUCCCUGUAUACGAAGCGAUAGCUGUACCUGUAAAUCAAACACUACUACGAACAGUAGUAGAGAGCUGCUAGAGAAAACAGAAGCUAAACAAACUGAGUUUCAUAUACAUAGUCCAAAUCCAAAAUACAAAGCUACUCGCACUGGCGAGUUAAGUCCACUAUGUACAUAAACUCGAAACAAAACAUCUACCUGCAGUAGGGGCACCUCUAGCUCAGCACGUCGGGUAGGGCUCUAACUCGCGACGCCCUUACCUCGAUCCUGAUCCGCGGAAGGCGCAGCAGCCGAAACCUGUGGCUCUGCAAAACGGGGGUAACAACUGGGCGUGAGAACUACUAUAAAAACAAGUAGUCCUCAGUGGGUACCGCCCAAAACAACAUCGGUCCACCCACUAAGUCUACAGGAGGGAGCAAGAAUAGUAGGAAAAGCAGGAAACAAACUCAACCGCUACAAAUCACUAUACUAUCAUGCUCUACACUAACCAACUGUAGGAAAUGUCAAAUCUGACCCAAUCCAAUCGGGACUGUAGACAUACCCGUCCCUGGGACUGUGAACACACCCGUCCCUGCCCCGUUGCGACUAUCGGGCUCUAUCCACACUAACUGGUCCGUGGAGAGCAAGUCCAACUGGCAUGAGCGACACCAACGCAAAAGCACAAGCCUGACUCCGGAGUGGCACUCGUGGGCGCUACCCAACCGAGUAUGCAGCGUAUCUCUGUCGAGCUCAAUCAGGCUCCAACUAGCCAAAGUCAAGUAAUCGACUUAAACUGGUCUAACAACCAACAGGUAACGUGCCCUCGGCACAAUCUGACGCCAAAAAGGCGAUACGGUCCACCGUCAACUCUGACGGCACCCAACAGUC
rnacentral:lncRNA from 1 species